AUUGAACGCUGGCGGCAUGCCUUACACAUGCAAGUCGAACGGCAGCACGGGGCAACCUGGUGGCGAGUGGCGAACGGGUGAGUAAUGCAUCGGAACGUGCCAUUGAGUGGGGGAUAACGUAGCGAAAGUUGCGCUAAUACCGCAUAUUCUGUGAGCAGGAAAGCAGGGGACCGCAAGGCCUUGCGCUCUUUGAGCGGCCGAUGUCAGAUUAGCUAGUUGGUGAGGUAACGGCUUACCAAGGCGACGAUCAGUAGGGGGCGUGAGAGCGUGGUCCCCACACGGGUACUGAGACACGGACCCGACUCCUACGGGAGGCAGGCAGUAAGGAAUAUGGUCAAUGCCCGCAAGGGUGAACCAGCCAUUCCGCGUGGAGGAUGAAGGCCCUAUGGGUUGUAAACUUCUUUUAGAUGGGAAGAAAA
rnacentral:rRNA from 1 species